CUCCUCCGGUGAUUCUUGCUUGCUCUCACUCUCCUUUCUCUUCCCUUCACCGCAGCAAAAGGCGAGCAAGGGCGACGAUUCGAGAAGCAACGGACGGCCCCAUGUUCCCUCGUCCAAGCCCCACUCCAGGCUCCUACCACCGGCGUCCUGCGGUCCAGAUCGGAGCUCGCAUUCCGCAUCCUCGACGACCUCGAUCUUCGGCCUGACGAGGUCGUCGAUGAUGCGGAAAGCCCCAAACAUCGGAUCUGAGCGUUGAAGGAGUGUCCGGCGAGGCUAUAGAGGGGAAGAAAGCCGUCAUGACCUCCGAGCAACUUCCAGAGCUUGCGGCCGCCGAUCCCCAACGAGCCAAAAGUGGUGCUCAAUAUCUAAGAAGCAAACAAAUCUUGUACUAGCAAACACCAAAGCUCAAGAAUUUUGGCUAAUAGACAGUCUGCCGCUCACUCGAAGGAAAGAAAGGCUUGUUAUAUAAUUGAACUUGAGAGAAAGUUGCAAACCCUCCAAAUCGAAGUUACAACUCUAUUUACACUGGCACAGUUUCAGGUGUGUGAUCUUAUAUUUUAUGCUUUUGAUAGUAUGAGCUAUCUGACCAACUAACUCUCCCAGAAUACCAUAAGUUUUGGCUUGAACUUAGUUAUAUCUGGUACAAACAACACUUGUUUGAAGGCAAAUGACAGAAAAAAAAACAACGAUGAAUACCUUAUUCUAUCAUGGUUAAUGGCUUGACCAUUUUCUCAUAUAUUUAAUUUCAUUUCAAAUCGCCACAGUCUGCAAUUCACUGAACAAAACCUGCGAACCAGGAAAUGAUCUAAGACUUGCAUCUUGUAGCAUAAUGAGCUUGUCUGCUGCAUUGCUUCUAAAAGGCAUCACUGAUGAAUCAGGUAGGCAUUAAAAAAAAAAAUGGUCUGUUCCAUCCAAUUCUUAGUUCUUAGCAAAAAUUGUGUAUUCUGGGAAGAUGAUUAAAUAGACAAAUAAGGCUUCUUCCAAGGUAUAUUUGGACUUUCUUGAUAAACUAAAUUCUAAAUUGAAAUUCCUUAGGCUUAUGUUUCUUUAACUAGAGUCAAGCUUCUUAGUAGAUUGGGGUUCAGACAGUUAUAUUCCAACCAACAAUUCGACCUUGUCAAUUACUUAUUUACUUCUCCUGUUUAGCGAACUUUAUUAUCGACUUACUCCCAGUAAAGUAGAAUUCCCUAGGCUUGUGCUUCUUCCUCCUGACAAAAACAAUGUAGCAUAAUGGACACCAGUUUCAGAUCAGGCAUUUUGGCUCCCUAAAUGAAGUGCUGAAGCAGGAACUCAACUCAAACGGCUCAAGUUUGCAACAGGCAAAAUAUGGAACCCUUGUGAAAUGUCUAACGGGAGCUCUCAUCAGCCAACUUACAAUCCAUCCUUUGCACUGCCCUAUCAACAUCCACCCUGCCAAACUAUUCAAUUCCACCCUCAAUUUCAGCAGUCCCAACCAGCUACUUCCCCAAUCACUAGAACUCCUUUUGCGACAUGAUCUAGGAAGAUCCUGGAGGAAGGAUGCAGGCAAAGGAAGCAAAAAAAACAAAAAGCUACAGAAGGAAGCAAAAAAGCUCUAGUUUGACCUUCUUUAAACUAGUCAUUGUUGUACAAUAAUAGCUGGAUAUGUUGUGCAGUAUUUCUUUCUAGUAAAAAUUGUUUCCCUUUUUCUAAGGAAUGUUUUUUUUUCAUAUUCUUUUUGGAUUUGUAUGCUUCUAAUUUGUAACAACAUUGCCCUUUGGUAAUUAUUCUUUAUGUUUA